GUCUGUUUGAAGAUAUAAAAAGUCUAGCCUGCUCACUGAUGUAAUUUAAGAGCCGCGGUAAUCUGACCGUGCAAAGGUAGCGUAAUUGGUAGUUUUUUAAUUGGGAUCUUGUAUGAAUGGUUGGACAAAAGAGAAUCUGUCUCUAUAAUUUUUAUUGAAUUUAACUUUUAAGUGAAAAGGCUUAAAUACGUUAAAAAGACGAUAAGACCCUAUAAAGCUUUAUAAAUAAGUACUGUUUAGUUAAAUUGAGUUAUAAAAUCUUAGUAGUUCUUUUUAUUUUAUUGGGGUGAUAAAAGUAUAAUUAUUGUUAACUGCUUAAAAGUUAAACCAUACAUAGAUGAAUAAGUUAUAAUGAUCCUAGUUCAAGAUUAAAAGUUUAAGUUACUUUAGGGAUAACAGCGUUAUUUUCUUUGAGAGUUCUUAUCGAAAAGAAAGUUUGCGACCUCGAUGUUGAAUUAAAAAAUCUAAAUAAUUGUAGCAGUUAUUUAAGAAGGUCUGUUCGACCUUUAAAAUUUUACAUGAUUUGAGUUCAGACCGGCGUGAGCCAGGUCGGUUUCUAUCUUUUAAUAUCUAGUAAAUUAUUUUAGUACGAAAGGAUUGAGUAAUUGAAAUAUUUUUGUUAUUGAUUUACUGUUUUGGCAGAUGUUAUGCGUUGGA
rnacentral:rRNA from 1 species